GAUGAACGCUGGCGGCGUGCCUAACACAUGCAAGUCGAGCGAGAACCGCUGGAAUGACACUUCGGUAGAAUGAAAGCGGGGAAAGCGGCGGACGGGUGAGUAACGCGUAGGUAACCUGCCCCAUACACAGGGAUAGCCUAGGGAAACCUGGAUUAAUACCUGAUGAAGCAACUGGUCGCAUGACCGGCUGCCAAAGAUUUAUCGGUAUGGGAUGGACCUGCGUCUGAUUAGUGAGUUGGUGGGGUAAUGGCCUACCAAAGCGACGAUCAGUAGCCGACCUGAGAGGGUGAUCGGCCACAUUGGAACUGAGACACGGUCCAAACUCCUGCGGGAGGCAGCAGUGGGGGAUAUUGCACAAUGGGCGGAAGCCUGAUGCAGCAACGCCGCGUGAGCGAAGAAGGUCUUCGGAUCGUAAAGCUCUGUCCUGGGGGAAGAACAAAUGACGGUACCCCGGGAGGAAGCCCCGCGUAACUACGUGCCAGCAGCCGCGGUAAAACGU
rnacentral:rRNA from 1 species